rnacentral:rRNA from 1 species
UACAGAGGGUGCGAGCGUUGUCCGGAAUUAUUGGGCGUAAAGAGCUCGUAGGCGGCUUGUCGCGUCGGCCGUGAAAACCCGGGGCUCAACCCCGGGCUUGCGGUGGAUACGGGCAGGCUCGAGUUCGGUAGGGGAGGCUGGAAUUCCCGGUGUAGAGGUGAAAUUCGUAGAUAUCGGGAGGAACACCAGUGGCGAAGGCGACUUUCUGGCCUGUUCUUGACGCUGAGGCGCGAAAGCGAGGGGAGCAAACGGG